GGGCUCAUAAUAGAUGUGUGUGUGAUGAUUAGGCAGUGUAUUGUUAGUUAGCUGGCAUUCACAUACCAGCAACUAAACACACUUCCACAUUAGCACACAACUUUGAAUCAGCAGUUACA
rnacentral:pre_miRNA from 14 species